AGAUAAGGAGCUUGCUCCUUUGACGUUAGCGGCGGACGGGUGAGUAACACGUGGGUAACCUACCUAUAAGACUGGAAUAACUCCGGGAAACCGGGGCUAAUGCCGGAUAACAUUUAGAACCGCAUGGUUCUAAAGUGAAAGAUGGUUUUGCUAUCACUUAUAGAUGGACCCGCGCCGUAUUAGCUAGUUGGUAAGGUAAUGGCUUACCAAGGCAACGAUACGUAGCCGACCUGAGAGGGUGAUCGGCCACACUGGAACUGAGACACGGUCCAGACUCCUACGGGAGGCAGCAGUAGGGAAUCUUCCGCAAUGGGCGAAAGCCUGACGGAGCAACGCCGCGUGAGUGAUGAAGGGUUUCGGCUCGUAAAACUCUGUUAUUAGGGAAGAACAAACGUGUAAGUAACUGUGCACGUCUUGACGGUACCUAAUCAGAAAGCCACGGCUAACUACGUGCCAGCAGCCGCGGUAAUACGUAGGUGGCAAGCGUUAUCCGGAAUUAUUGGGCGUAAAGCGCGCGUAGGCGGUUUCUUAAGUCUGAUGUGAAAGCCCACGGCUCAACCGUGGAGGGUCAUUGGAAACUGGGAGACUUGAGUGCAGAAGAGGAAAGUGGAAUUCCAUGUGUAGCGGUGAAAUGCGCAGAGAUAUGGAGGAACACCAGUGGCGAAGGCGACUUUCUGGUCUGUAACUGACGCUGAUGUGCGAAAGCGUGGGGAUCAAACAGGAUUAGAUACCCUGGUAGUCCACGCCGUAAACGAUGAGUGCUAAGUGUUAGGGGGUUUCCGCCCCUUAGUGCUGCAGCUAACGCAUUAAGCACUCCGCCUGGGGAGUACGACCGCAAGGUUGAAACUCAAAGGAAUUGACGGGGACCCGCACAAGCGGUGGAGCAUGUG
rnacentral:rRNA from 1 species